CUUCUUCUAAGAAGUUCAUAGGAUUAAUAUAUACCUACUAUAUAUUCUCCACUAUUCCAAAGUGAACCACUCAACUUAAACCACAACACCAUUUCGAUAUUAAAACCUCCAUUUAUAUUGUUUCACUCUCCUCAAAACUUAUUAUUUACUAUAUCAUUAUCUGAAGCUCAAGUCUUCAUACUUACUUAGAUAUCUUCCCUUAACCAUACUAUCCAAUAGAAAUUCUUUUGUCAACUACAGUUCUUACA
rnacentral:lncRNA from 1 species